rnacentral:rRNA from 1 species
GGUGGAGCAUGCCUGCGGGUGAGUAACACGUGAGCAACCUGCCCCUGACUGUGGGAUAAGCGCUGGAAACGGCGUCUAAUACUGGAUACGAGUAGCGACCGCAUGGUCAGUUACUGGAAAGAUUUAUUGGUUGGGGAUGGGCUCGCGGCCUAUCAGCUUGUUGGUGAGGUAAUGGCUCACCAAGGCGUCGACGGGUAGCCGGCCUGAGAGGGUGACCGGCCACACUGGGACUGAGACACGGCCCAGACUCCUACGGGAGGCAGCAGUGGGGAAUAUUGCACAAUGGGCGCAAGCCUGAUGCAGCAACGCCGCGUGAGGGAUGACGGCCUUCGGGUUGUAAACCUCUUUUAGCAGGGAAGAAGCGAAAGUGACGGUACCUGCAGAAAAAGCGCCGGCUAACUACGUGCCAGCAGCCGCGGUAAUACGUAGGGCGCAAGCGUUAUCCGGAAUUAUUGGGCGUAAAGAGCUCGUAGGCGGUUUGUCGCGUCUGCUGUGAAAUCCGGAGGCUCAACCUCCGGCCUGCAGUGGGUACGGGCAGACUAGAGUGCGGUAGGGGAGAUUGGAAUUCCUGGUGUAGCGGUGGAAUGCGCAGAUAUCAGGAGGAACACCGAUGGCGAAAGGCAGAUCUCUGGGCCGUAACUG